rnacentral:tRNA from 1 species
GAAAUAUAUUAAGAAGCUUCUAACUUCUAAUAUAGCAAUAAAUUUGUUAGUAUUUCU